GCGCGAUCCGCACGAGCCGCGUCCAGGGCGCGCUCUUUGGAGCCCUCUGCGUACCCCUCAGAGUGGGUUGCCAUGGUCACCAUUGAGCUUUGGGACUGAAGGGCUGACGGGAGCAGCCAGGGAGCGAGACAGAGAGAAAAGGAGACGGAUUCUGAUUGGCUGCUGCUUCGCUUCACCAGCGCCUCAGCCCUGUGCCUCCGGGAGCCUGACGCCUGGUCCCCUCUGUCCUGUCCUCCCGCCCCAGCGGUCUCCUGGGACGGGCGCAGUCAAAACCCUGAACAAACUUCUGGAGGCUGCUGCUAAAGAACACAAGGCUGUAGCCAGGUUCCCAGGAUCCCCAGAGACAGGGUCAGGUGCGUCACCCACGCCCCUGGGACCCUACCUCCUGCUGCCCCUCCCGGAGCCAUUCUGCAGCAUUCACCGAUCUCUGCGUCCAGCUCUGCUCAUCUGCUGUUAUCUUGGACCUCACUAAGCAGGUAAGAGACCCCAGGCCCCAUUGGGGAUGGCACCCCCACCCACCCAGGUAUCUGGCACCCCCACCUCCACCUGAGCACAAACCUAGGUGUCUGCCCCAGAC
rnacentral:lncRNA from 1 species